AACAGAUAAGGAGCUUGCUCCUUUGACGUUAGCGGCGGACGGGUGAGUAACACGUGGGUAACCUACCUAUAAGACUGGGACAACUUCGGGAAACCGGAGCUAAUACCGGAUAAUAUGUUGAACCGCAUGGUUCAAUAGUGAAAGAUGGUUUUGCUAUCACUUAUAGAUGGACCCGCGCCGUAUUAGCUAGUUGGUGAGGUAACGGCUCACCAAGGCAACGAUACGUAGCCGACCUGAGAGGGUGAUCGGCCACACUGGAACUGAGACACGGUCCAGACUCCUACGGGAGGCAGCAGUAGGGAAUCUUCCGCAAUGGGCGAAAGCCUGACGGAGCAACGCCGCGUGAGUGAUGAAGGUCUUAGGAUCGUAAAACUCUGUUAUUAGGGAAGAACAAACGUGUAAGUAACUGUGCACGUCUUGACGGUACCUAAUCAGAAAGCCACGGCUAACUACGUGCCAGCAGCCGCGGUAAUACGUAGGUGGCAAGCGUUAUCCGGAAUUAUUGGGCGUAAAGCGCGCGUAGGCGGUUUUUAAGUCUGAUGUGAAAGCCCACGGCUCAACCGUGGAGGGUCAUUGGAAACUGGAAAACUUGAGUGCAGAAGAGGAAAGUGGAAUUCCAUGUGUAGCGGUGAAAUGCGCAGAGAUAUGGAGGAACACCAGUGGCGAAGGCGACUUUCUGGUCUGUAACUGACGCUGAUGUGCGAAAGCGUGGGGAUCAAACAGGAUUAGAUACCCUGGUAGUCCACGCCGUAAACGAUGAGUGCUAAGUGUUAGGGGGUUUCCGCCCCUUAGUGCUGCAGCUAACGCAUUAAGCACUCCGCCUGGGGAGUACGACCGCAAGGUUG
rnacentral:rRNA from 1 species